rnacentral:rRNA from 1 species
GUCCUUUUGAUUUUUAUAUAAGGUCUGACCUGCCCUAUGAAUAUUUAAAUGGCCGCGGUAUACUAACCGUGCAAAGGUAGCAUAGUCAUUUGUCUCUUAAUUGGAGGCUUGAAUGAAGGGUUGGACGAGAUAUAAGCUUUCUUUGUUAUAUUUUAUUGAAUUUGACUUUUGAGUUAAAAGGCUUAAAUUUUUUUAUAGGACGAGAAGACCCUAUAGAAUUUUAUAUAUUUGUAUAAUCGAUUUAUUUAUUUAUUAUUUAAUUUCUUGUUUAAAUAUAUUUUGUUGGGGCGAUGGGAAGAUUUUAAUAACUCUUUUUUGUUUUGAUCAUUGAUUUAUGUUUUAUUCUGAUCCUUUUUUAGAGAUUAUAAGAUUAAAUUACCUUAGGGAUAACAGCGUAAUUCUUUUGGAGAGUUCUUAUCGAUAAAAGAGUUUGCGA